GAUGAACGCUGGCGGCGUGCCUAAUACAUGCAAGUCGAGCGAACGGACUAGAAGCUUGCUUCUCUGAUGUUAGCGGCGGACGGGUGAGUAACACGUGGAUAACCUACCUAUAAGACUGGGAUAACUUCGGGAAACCGGAGCUAAUACCGGAUAAUAUUUUGAACCGCAUGGUUCAAAAGUGAAAGACGGUCUUGCUGUCACUUAUAGAUGGAUCCGCGCUGCAUUAGCUAGUUGGUAAGGUAACGGCUUACCAAGGCAACGAUGCAUAGCCGACCUGAGAGGGUGAUCGGCCACACUGGAACUGAGACACGGUCCAGACUCCUACGGGAGGCAGCAGUAGGGAAUCUUCCGCAAUGGGCGAAAGCCUGACGGAGCAACGCCGCGUGAGUGAUGAAGGUCUUCGGAUCGUAAAACUCUGUUAUUAGGGAAGAACAUAUGUGUAAGUAACUGUGCACAUCUUGACGGUACCUAAUCAGAAAGCCACGGCUAACUACGUG
rnacentral:rRNA from 1 species